AUGGUGUACUUCGACUCAUGGGACGAGUUCGUCGACCGGUCCGUGCAGCUCUUCCGCGCCGACCCCAUCACCACUCGCUAUUGUAUGAAGUACCGGCACUGCGACGGGAAGCUCGUGCUCAAGGUCACCGACGACCGCGAGUGCUUGAAGUUCAAGACGGAUCAAGCUCAGGACGCAAAGAAGAUGGAGAAGCUCAACAACAUCUUUUUCGCUCUCAUGACUCGUGGACCUGAUGCUGACAUAAGCGAGGUUUCAGGGAAGGAACAAGCGGAGCAGCAGCAAUCAAAGAAGGGACGGGGCAGGAGGCAGUAG
rnacentral:rRNA from 1 species